CCGAAAGGCAGGAGUGCCUGCAAGGGAGCGCGGAGACAGGUGGUGCAUGGCUGUCGUCAGCUCGUGUCGUGAGAUGUUGGGUUAAGUCCCGCAACGAGCGCAACCCUCACCUCUUGUUGCCAUCAGGUCAUGCUGGGCACUCUAGAGGAACUGCCCCGGUCAACGGGGAGGAAGGCGGGGAUGACGUCAAGUCAUCAUGCCCCUUACGUCCUGGGCUACACACGUGCUACAAUGGCCGGUACAAAGGGAUGCCACACCGCGAGGUAGAGCUAAACCCAAAAAGCCGGUCUAAGUUCGGAUUGGAGUCUGCAACUCGACUCCAUGAAGGAGGAAUCGCUAGUAAUCGCGUAUCAGCACGACGCGGUGAAUACGUUCCCGGGCCUUGUACACACCGCCCGUCACACCACGAAAGCCAGCUGUACUCGAAGUCGCUGAG
rnacentral:rRNA from 1 species